AUUCAUGCAAAGCAAUUUAUUUUAUUGCCGCUUGUCGUCGCUAAACGUAAGGGUUCCCUGUACCCAGCAAUCAGGUUUUAGGUGCAAGCAAAUAGACAAUAAUUCUUGGGAAAGCAGAGCCAGACGACAGGGGCAGAUAGCGAGAUAAUUACAGUUUUGGUGGCUAAAAAUGAUAAAAAUACAGAUACGACAACAAUAAAAAUGCGCACAAGUGAAUGAACGCACACAAAAAUAUCUUUAUUGUAUGUAUGCAUGCAUACAAUGUAUGUAUCCACAUACAAGUUGAAAACAUGCCGUUACUUAUGGCGAAUGACGAGGCGCAGAAGACUGAGCAAGAGAUGGAGUGACGGGAGGGGGAGGGGGGGGGCGGCGUUCGCUUGGCGCUGAGUGCGCGUUGAGUGCAAUUUAGGUGCUGUUGCACCGAGUCGAACGUAGGCGUACAGUGGAACCCGUUGAAGCGCAAAAGUGGCAUCAAGGGGUUUAAACAGACCGAACAUUUGGCAGCGCUUCCCCUAGUCUAGUGCAAGCUGAGGACAAUUCUCAUAUUCGUAUGUGGCUUAAGCAUAUCAAAGGUGGGAAUGAUUCAGGUUGGUCUGGGGACCUGGAGUGCACCUGAAAUCCCUCUCUAAUGAGUCACAAUUCAUGACGCGACAACGUUGAGGGCUUAGGAAAGCAACAUGAUUGUUAUGAUAUUUAUGCUUAUAGCACACGAACACACUCACCCUCCCCGAAACAAAGACUCACCUAAUACUUUUUGCAAUAAAAGAAUAUGAUGAUUACAAACGAAUACUGUUUUGUUUUGUUGGUGGAGUUUUUCUCGUUUUCACUAGUUCCCGUUUCUAUUUUUGUGUGUUGAAACGCACUGUAUUACAUAAAUUAUUCGCAUAUAUUUAUUUCACAUUUCACAGGACUCUGCUUUCCCCUUUCCAGAACUUCGCAUUAUUUGUAUUCAUACAGCAUAUGCAGCACCCCGAUUGAUUGUGCCCUAAAACUACUCUAACUACAGCACUGUCACAUUUGCCCACAAUAUUAUUUAGGUUUAUGUAUAUUUUGAUAUG